GACGAAGGGGCUAGCGUUGUUCGGAAUUACUGGGCGUAAAGCGCGUGUAGGCGGUUGUCCAAGUUGGAUGUGAAAGCCUUGAGCUCAACUCAAGAAAUGCAUUCAGGACUGGAUGACUAGAGGACCGGAGAGGAUAGUGGAAUUCCCAGUGUAGUGGUGAAAUACGUAGAGAUUGGGAAGAACACCAGUGGCGAAGGCGGCUAUCUGGACGGUUUCUGACGCUAAGACGCGAAAGCGUGGGGAGCAAACAGG
rnacentral:rRNA from 1 species